rnacentral:rRNA from 1 species
CACGUAGGGUGCGAGCGUUGUCCGGAAUUAUUGGGCGUAAAGAGCUCGUAGGCGGCUUGUUGCGUCGGAUGUGAAAGCCCCGGGGCUUAACCCCGGGUCUGCAUUCGAUACGGGCAGGCUAGAGUUCGGGUAGGGGAGAUCGGAAUUCCUGGUGUAGCGGUGAAAUGCGCAGAUAUCAAGCGGAACACCGGUGGCGAAGGCGGCCUCUGGACAAUGACUGACGCUAAAACACGAAAGCGUGGGGAGCAAACAGG